rnacentral:rRNA from 1 species
GGAAGUAAAAGUCGUAACAAGGUCUCCGUUGGUGAACCAGCGGAGGGAUCAUUACAGAGUUACCUAACUCCAAACCCAUGUGAACUUACCUACGUUGCCUCGGCGGGGAAGCCUACCCGGUACCUACCCGGGAGCGAGCUACCCUGUAGCCCGCUGCAGGCCUACCCGCCGGUGGACGCCUAAACUCUUGUUUUUUAGUGAUUAUCUGAGUGUUUAUACUUAAUAAGUUAAAACUUUCAACAACGGAUCUCUUGGUUCUGGCAUCGAUGAAGAACGCAGCGAAAUGCGAUAAGUAAUGUGAAUUGCAGAAUUCAGUGAAUCAUCGAAUCUUUGAACGCACAUUGCGCCCAUUAGUAUUCUAGUGGGCAUGCCUGUUCGAGCGUCAUUUCAACCCUCAAGCCCUAGUUGCUUGGUGUUGGGAGCUUAUCUUCGGAUAACUCCCCAAAAGCAUCGGCGGAGUCGCGGUGGCCCCAAGCGUAGUAAUUUUUCCUCGCUUAGGUGUGCUACGGUCGACGUCCUGCCGUAAAACCCCCUAUUUUCUAGUGGUUGACCUCGGAUCAGGUAGGAAUACCCGCUGAACUUAAGCAUAUCAAUAAGCGGAGGA